UUAAUCUGCACACAGCAGGCAGCAACAGAAAUGAGCUGCACCUGAAGGGAGGAAAGAGAUGAUCUCCUCUUUUCAUUUCUUCACCAGAUUGAAGGAGUGAAAACUACAAGACACAAGAAGUUUAGUCAUUACCAAAGUUCUGUAUAAAUUCAAACAAUAAACUAAUACAAGUUGUUGCUAAUGCUAAGCUACAUGGUAAUGCUAAACCUUAA